CUCACAAAGAGGACUCCUUGUGAAGGGUUAAAGGCAUGUUCAUUGCCAUGGCCAGAGAGCACUUGUCUCUAAAACCUGCACCUGCUGUAAACCUGAGAACAUGCUCCUCUUCAGCAGAUCUGAAUUAACCUGGAAUAAACAGCACUCAGAUCACAGGAACAGAGGGGGGAUUACCGGAACUCUAAUGGGAAAACACAGCUUUCAUCUGCAAAACUCGAUGCUGUGAUCAUAAAAUGUACAGAAGCCUCAUAUUUUUAUCUCAUAUCAUGUAUACAUGUUUUUUUUUUCAGUCGUCUCAAUUCUGACUGCAAACCAAUGCACAUUUUAUUUUGGGAAUUAUGCAUAAUUGUUCAUGUACAUGUUUCCUUUGCCUUU